GCGGAAAGGCUGAUCGGGAGUACUCGAGCGGCGAAAGGGAGAGUAACGCGUGGAUAUCUGCCCUCGGAUCUGGGAUAGCGGUGAGGAGGGCGCCGGUAAUACCAGAUAACGUCUCCGGACCAAAGGUGUGACUCCGUCCGAGGAUGAGUCCGCGUCCUAUUAGUUUGUUGGUGGGGUAAUGGCCUACCAAGGCAAUGAUGGGUACCGGGUGUGAGAGCAUGGCCCGGCUCACUGGGACUGAGACACUGCCCAGACACCUACGGGUGGCUGCAGUCGAGAAUCUUCGGCAAUGGGCGCAAGCCUGACCGAGCGACGCCGCGUGCGGGAUGAAGGCCUUCGGGUUGUAAACCGCUGUCAGAGGGGAGGAAAUGCAUGAGGGUUCUCUCUCAUGUUUGACCGAUCCUCAGAGGAAGUACGGGCUAAGUUCGUGCCAGCAGCCGCGGUAAUACGAACCGUACGAACGUUAUUCGGAAUCACUGGGCUUCAAGAGUGCGUAGGCGGCCUGGUAAGUUGGGUGUGAAAUCCCUCGGCUCGACCGAGGAAUUGCGCGCAGGACUACUAGGCUUGAGGGAGGCAGAGGUACGCGGAACUACUGGUGGAGCGGUGAGGUGCGUUGAUAUCAUUAGGAACACCUGAGGCGAGGGCCGCUUUCGUGGGCCUCUUCUG
rnacentral:rRNA from 1 species